UACAGCCAUAUCACGUUGAAAUACCGAUUCCCGUAUGAUCCCCAAAGUUAAGCAACGUCGGGCCUGGUGAGUACCUAGAUGGGUGACCACUUGCAAAUGCAAGGUGGUGUAA